GACGAACGCUGGCGGCGUGCCUAAUACAUGCAAGUCGAACGCAGUGGGGACGGGUGAGUAACACGUGGGUAACCUCCCAUCAGAGGGGAUAACACUUGGAAACAGGUGCUAAACCGAUACUGAUGGAUGGACCCGGGGUGCAUUAGCUAGUUGGUGAGGUAACGGCUCACCAAGGCCACGAUGCAUAGCAGAGCUGGGAGGGGGAUCAGCCACACUGGGACUGAGACACGGCCCAGACUCCUACGGGAGGCAGCAGUAGAGAGUCGUCGACAAUGGACGAAAGUCUGGCCGGACAACGCCGCGUGAGGGAAAGAGGUUAUCGGAUCGUAAUACUAUGUUGUUAGAGAAGCGGUAUCUAACCAGUAAGCCACGGCUAACUACGUGCCAGCAGCCGCGGUAAUUC
rnacentral:rRNA from 1 species